GGCGAACGCUGGCGGCGUGCUUAACACAUGCAAGUCGAACGGAAAGGCCCUGCUUUUGUGGGGUGCUCGAGUGGCGAACGGGUGAGUAACACGUGAGCAACCUGCCCUUGACUUUGGGAUAACUUCAGGAAACUGGGGCUAAUACCGGAUAGGAGCUCCUGCUGCAUGGGGGGGGUUGGAAAGUUUCGGCGGUUGGGGAUGGACUCGCGGCUUAUCAGCUUGUGGGUGGGGUAGUGGCUUACCAAGGCUUUGACGGGUAGCCGGCCUGAGAGGGUGACCGGCCACAUUGGGCCUGCGAUACGGCCCAGACUCCUACGGGAGGCAGCAGUGGGGAAUAUUGCACAAUGGGCGGAAGCCUGAUGCAGCAACGCCGCGUGCGGGAUGACGGCCUUCGGGUUGUAAACCGCUUUCGCCUGUGACGAAGCGUGAGUGACGGUAAUGGGUAAAGAAGCACCGGCUAACUACGUG
rnacentral:rRNA from 1 species